rnacentral:rRNA from 1 species
UACAGAGGGGGCAAGCGUUGUUCGGAAUUACUGGGCGUAAAGGGCGCGUAGGUGGCCAACUAAGUCAGACGUGAAAUCCCCAGGCUCAACUUGGGAACUGCGUCUGAUACUGGAUGGCUUGAAUUCGGGAGAGGGAUGCAGAAUUCCAGGUGUAGCGGUGAAAUGCGUAGAUAUCUGGAGGAAUACCGGUGGCGAAGGCGGCAUCCUGGACCGAGAUUGACACUGAUGAGCGAAAGCUAGGGGAGCAAACGGG